UACGAAGGGGGCUAGCGUUGUUCGGAAUCACUGGGCGUAAAGGGCGCGUAGGCGGCGCGGUAAGUCGGGUGUGAAAUCUCGGAGCUUAACUCCGAAACUGCAUUCGAUACUGCCGUGCUUGAGGACUGGAGAGGAGACUGGAAUUUACGGUGUAGCGGUGAAAUGCGUAGAUAUCGUAAGGAAGACCAGUGGCGAAGGCGGGUCUCUGGACAGUUCCUGACGCUGAGGCACGAAGGCCAGGGGAGCAAACGGG
rnacentral:rRNA from 1 species